GCAGCCCGUCGACGAGUUGCGCGGUGUCGUCGGCGCUGCCGUCGUCGACCGCGACGACCUCGUAGUCGGCGGUGAUCGCAUCCAACGCGGGCCGCA
rnacentral:tRNA from 1 species